CGUCGCCACGGUAAUACGUAGGUGGCAAGCGUUGUCCGGAAUUAUUGGGCGUAAAGGGCUCGCAGGCGGUUUCUUAAGUCUGAUGUGAAAGCCCCCGGCUCAACCGGGGAGGGUCAUUGGAAACUGGGAAACUUGAGUGCAGAAGAGGAGAGUGGAAUUCCACGUGUAGCGGUGAAAUGCGUAGAGAUGUGGAGGAACACCAGUGGCGAAGGCGACUCUCUGGUCUGUAACUGACGCUGAGGAGCGAAAGCGUGGGGAGCGAACAGGAUUAGAUACCCCCGUAGUCCCUGUCUCUUAUACC
rnacentral:rRNA from 1 species